UACAGAGGUCUCAAGCGUUGUUCGGAUUCAUUGGGCGUAAAGGGUUCGUAGGCGGUGCGGCAAGUUGGGAGUGAAAUCUCUGGGCUUAACCCAGAGGCUGCUUCCAAAACUGCUGUGCUUGAGUGUGGGAGAGGCGCGUGGAAUUGCAGGUGUAGCGGUGAAAUGCGUAGAUAUCUGCAGGAACACCCGUGGCGAAAGCGGCGCGCUGGACCACUACUGACGCUGAGGAACGAAAGCUAGGGGAGCAAACAGG
rnacentral:rRNA from 1 species